rnacentral:rRNA from 1 species
GAUGAACGCUGGCGGCGUGCCUAACACAUGCAAGUCGAGCGAAGCGCCUUACUUGAUUUCUUCGGGAUGAAAGUAUUGUGACUGAGCGGCGGACGGGUGAGUAACGCGUGGAUAACCUGCCUCAUACAGGGGGAUAACAGUUAGAAAUGACUGCUAAUACCGCAUAAGACCACAGCACCGCAUGGUGCAGGGGUAAAAACUCCGGUGGUAUGAGAUGGAUCCGCGUCUGAUUAGGUAGUUGGUGAGGUAACGGCCCACCAAGCCGACGAUCAGUAGCCGACCUGAGAGGGUGACCGGCCACAUUGGGACUGAGACACGGCCCAG